ACAAAAGGGACGUUGCUGAUUGGCCGGACGUCUGUGUUUGCCUCGGAGCUGGGAGAGCAGGUCGGAGGAACGGCGUGACGCGUUUUGAGCGGGGCUGCGCUCCCAUUGGGCGGCGCGUCACCGGAAGAGGAAGUCGCGGGGCGUGUGCACACCCACUCGGGGCUCGGGCUGGCUGAGGGGAAAAGCCUCGGGCUGGCUCUGCCUCGGAGGCCGGUUGCCUGGCGUUGGGCUCCAUGCAAUGCGCCGCCUCUCGUAGCGCCAUGCAGCGGGCCGGAGGAGGGGGAGGAGCGGCCGCAUCAGCGGCGGAGCCUGGAGGCGAGGCUGUUGCUGCGGCCGCGGCCUCCUACCGCGUCCUGAGCCGUUUCCUGGGCUACGGCGGCCCCGAGUCCGCCUCAGCCGUGGGCGACGAGGCAACGGGCGGCUUGAGGGGCUCGCAGCUCUUGGUCUUCCGGCCUGGUGAGGCGGCGGUGUCCCCGGCCUUGCCUCCGCCUCAGCAGCCGCCUCCUCCUCCGCCUCCUCCACCGCCAGAGCUGCUUUGCGCCCCUCAGAAAGGAUGCCACUGCCAACCUGCAGCCGGGCGGUGCUGGAACGGCGCGGCCGGCGGCCUACUCUUCCCUCCAGGCGCCGGCCUCGAGUUGCAGCUCGCCGCCUUGGCCCUCGGGACGCCCGGCAAACCCCCCAGCGCUUGCCCUUGCUCGCCUCAGGUCCCGCCGCCUUCGCUGCUGCCUUUGGUGCCGCCGGGGGAGGAAACCAGCGACGCCUUGCUGGUCCUGGAAGCCCUGGGCCCCGAAGAGGAGGAGGAGGACAACGAAGGAGAACAGGCUUCAGCAACAUCAACCACAACAGAAGCCUCCAACCCGGCUAACGUAGCGGGCGGGCGCUACUUUCAAACCCCCGCGCCGCCUGCCUCUCCCGCCCCGAAGCGGCCCCCCACCCCGUCCAGGAAAGGCUCCUUCAAGGUGCGCCUCAGCCGCCUUUUCCGCACCAAAAGCUGCAGCGGAGCGGCCGCCUCCGGGGGAACGCGUCGGGGAGGGGAAAAGGAACUUCUGCAAGCCGCCGCUGCUUCUGCCGCCCCGGGGAACGCGGGCACAGCGGGGAGCCUUCCCGAUGUUUCCCACCCUGGGUGCCGCGAACCAGACUCGGGCAGAAAGCCAAGACUGAUGCGAACACAAAGUGCCUUUUCUCCCGUUGUUUUUGGUCCCCUCUUCACAGGUGAGACAGUGUCGCUGGUGGAUGUGGAUAUCUCUCAGCGUGGUCUAACGUCUCCACAUCCUCCUACACCACCACCUCCCCCACGACGAAGCCUCAGCCUUUUGGAUGAUAUCAGUGGGACACUGCCUACAUCUGUCUUAGUGGGUCCGAUGGGGUCUUCGUCCCUCCAGUCUUUUCCUCUGCCUCCGCCGCCUCCGCCGCAUGCCCCUGGUCAGUUUAGUCUUGAUGCUCAAGGUUUCCAAAAUUUCUUUUGUGAAGAUGUACAAGUUAGCUGAGUUUCUCAAUUUGAUUAAUGGAUUUUUGGGCGCAAGGCGGUGUGCAAGAAAUGGGACAGAUAGAAAACAGUUCCUCAUAUAUUUGUGAUAUACACAGUUUUUAAAAUCUUUCUUUUGAGCAUGCUAAUUUUUCUGUGGGAAACAUGUAUACACUGGAAGCCCUAGAGUGACAUUCACAGGAUUCCACUGCGUCUCUCCCCACCUUACCCAUUGCAAGGCUUUUUUGUAACUUCUGGCUGUCUCCUCUCAUAUGAAACAGUGAUUCCUGUAGAUGUCUCUGGGAUAUUUUAUGGCAUUCUGGCUAGUGAGCUGGAAAUAACAUUUGUGUGGAAUUUUCCAUUGUAAAUGUUUGGAAGGAUUGCAUGUUAACUAAAGAGUUUAGGAUUUUCUUGCUGAAUCAGAACUAUUUUGGCAAGUAAUGUUUCGAGAAUUACAAUGAGAAGCCAAUUAUAACUCAUGCCAUUAAUAUAAUUGACUUGAUAACCAAGUAAUGGCUUUUAACAUCAUUAAUCAAAGUUGUAACAAAUUAUGGGUGACAAGAAUAUGUUGUGCAAAUUAUUUCCCAUGUGUUGGAAAAGCCUGCAACCAAAUGAAUAUAUAUCCACCUAGCUCCAUACGUAUAUCUGACUUCAGUUUGCCCUUGAAGUAGUUGAUGUGUGAGUUUAUGGAUCCUUGUAGCUACUCGUGCUGCAAAAUUGAGAUCCUCUCCUGGCAUGUAACUAUUUUGUUUCAGGUUUAAUUUGGAUUUUCUUUCUAAAUUAGCUGGAACCUAUAUUUAUGUAACAACUUGCCAUCUGAGGAAACCAAAUCAACAGAGACAAAAACAAAGGAAAAUGUAUUGAAUGAGUGUGCUGUGUGGGCAUGAAUAGAGAUGUAUGUUUAUUUACCUGUUAUACAUUGGGGUAAACAGUGUAUUAGAGAUUAGGUUGGAAAAAUUAGGUUGCUAAAAUUGACCCAUGUGUGAAGACUUCCCUCCUGAAAUUUGUCAGUGCAUGGAAGGCCAGGAUGGUUCUAUGUGUUGGAUAAAUGAAAUGCUGUGCAUCUGUGUCUCACUUCGUUUUGUGGCUACUACAAGAUGUACCCCACCUUACCUCAGUUACUAUUUCUCUUUUCCCAUCUGUUUUCACUUCCCUGUAUAGUUAGACGCUAGCCUCCUCUCUAUAUUUUGAAGGCUUCUCUACCACCAAUCGAUAUUUGAGAUAAGAUGCAUUAAACUAUAAAGUCAAGUCUUUUGAGACACUACUUGUCUUUGGGCUGGGGAAGGACUGGGGAAUCUUUGCCUCUCCAGAUAUUUUGGCUUAGGACAGCAGAAGUUCUACACAACAUGGCUGAUAGUAGGGGACUGUGGGAGGCCAAACUAUUUCUCCACUCAUCCCUUAGAACAUGCAGUGUCCAUGGACAUCUCCUUGGAGACAUCUUGAUUGUCUUUUAUCCAGAACUUCUUACUCUUACUUAUAAAAGCAUUUUGAUAUUAAUGUAUUAUUAAUAUUAGUGUACUAAAACUUUCAGCUGAAAAAAAGUGUUUUUGUGUGCAAUAAAAUACUUUUUACUAUAGGAAACAUUCAAUAUAGAUAGCUGCAGGCAUUUGCAUAAUGCUUUUCCAUUAGUUCGAAUAAUGUGACAUCAGUUGUGCCACUGUUUUCUUGUCUUCUGGCGACUUGGAAGGAAAGCAUUGGCGGAAAUCAACAUAGAAUGCCUAUAAUAAUAAACCUGUAAUAUUGAGGAUAAGCCACAAAAAUAUAGACAUAGG
rnacentral:lncRNA from 11 species